rnacentral:rRNA from 1 species
UACAGAGGUCUCAAGCGUUGUUCGGAGUUACUGGGCGUAAAGGGUGCGUAGGUGGCUCUAUAAGUAUGGUGUGAAAUCUCCCGGCUUAACUGGGAGGGUGCGCCGUAGACUGUGGGGCUAGAGUGUGGGAGAGGAAAGUGGAAUUCCUGGUGUAGCGGUGAAAUGCGUAGAUAUCAGGAGGAACACCGGUGGUGUAAACGGCUUUCUGGACCAUAACUGACACUGAGGCACGAAAGCGUGGGUAGCAAACAGG